rnacentral:rRNA from 1 species
UACGUAGGCAGCGAGCGUUGUUCGGAGUUACUGGGCGUAAAGGGUGCGUAGGCGAUUGUUUAAGUUUGGUGUGAAAUCUCCCGGCUCAACUGGGAGGGUGCGCCGAAUACUGAAUGACUAGAGUGCGGGAGAGGAUAGUGGAAUUCCUGGUGUAGCGGUGAAAUGCGUAGAUAUCAGGAGGAACACCGGUGGUGUAGACGGCUAUCUGGACCGUAACUGACGCUGAGGCACGAAAGCGUGGGUAGCAAACAGG